UGGCGAACGGGUGAGUAACACGUGGGUGACCUGCCCCCUACUCUGGGAUAAGCCUGGGAAACUGGGUCUAAUACCGGAUAUGACUUCAUGCUUCAUGGUGUGGGGUGGAAAGCUUUUGUGGUGGGGGAUGGGCCCGCGGCCUAUCAGCUUGUUGGUGGGGUGAUGGCCUACCAAGGCUUCGACGGGUAGCCGGCCUGAGAGGGCGUCCGGCCACACUGGGACUGAGACACGGCCCAG
rnacentral:rRNA from 1 species